GACGUAGGGCGCAAGCGUUGUCCGGAUUUAUUGGGCGUAAAGAGCUCGUAGGCGGCCUGUCGCGUCGACCGUGAAAACCCGCAGCUCAACUGCGGGCUUGCGGUCGAUACGGGCAGGCUGGAGUUCGGUAGGGGAGACUGGAAUUCCUGGUGUAGCGGUGAAAUGCGCAGAUAUCAGGAGGAACACCGGUGGCGAAGGCGGCCCCCUGGACCGGUACUGACGCUGAGGAGCGAAAGCCAGGGGAGCAAACGGG
rnacentral:rRNA from 1 species